GUCUCGGAUAGCUUAACUGGAGAGCCCUUGGCGCGUAACCGAGAGAUCUGGGUUCGAUUCCCAGUCUGGGCU
rnacentral:tRNA from 1 species